rnacentral:rRNA from 1 species
GACGAACGCUGGCGGCGUGCUUAACACAUGCAAGUCGAACGGAAAGGCCCUGCUUUUGUGGGGUGCUCGAGUGGCGAACGGGUGAGUAACACGUGAGUAACCUGCCCUUGACUUUGGGAUAACUUCAGGAAACUGGGGCUAAUACCGGAUAGGAGCUCCUGCUGCAUGGUGGGGGUUGGAAAGUUUCGGCGGUUGGGGAUGGACUCGCGGCUUAUCAGCUUGUUGGUGGGGUAGUGGCUUACCAAGGCUUUGACGGGUAGCCGGCCUGAGAGGGUGACCGGCCACAUUGGGACUGAGAGACGGCCCAGACUCCUACGGGAGGCAGCAGUGGGGAAUAUUACACAAUGGGCGGAAGCCUGAUGCAGAAACGCCGCGUGCGGGAUGACGGCCUUCGGGUUGUAAACCGCUUUCGCCUGUGACGAAGCGUGAGUGACGGUAAUGGGUAAAGAAGCACCGGCUAACUACGUG